CAGUAGCCGCGGUAAUACGAAGGGUGCAAGCGUUACUCGGAAUUACUGGGCGUAAAGCGUGCGUAGGUGGUGGUUUAAGUCCGUUGUGAAAGCCCUGGGCUUAACCUGGGAAUUGCAGUGGAUACUGGGUCACUAGAGUGUGGUAGAGGAUAGUGGAAUUUCCGGUGUAGCAGUGAAAUGCGUAGAGAUCGGAAGGAACAUCUGUGGCGAAGGCGACUAUCUGGGCCAACACUGACACUGAGGCACGAAAGCGUGGGGAGCAAACAGGAUUAGAUACCCGCGUAGUCCCUGUCUCUUAUAC
rnacentral:rRNA from 1 species